rnacentral:rRNA from 1 species
CCUCCAGACUCCUACGGGAGGCAGCAGUGGGGGAUAUUGCACAAUGGGGGGAACCCUGAUGCAGCGACGCCGCGUGGGUGAAGGAGUGCUUCGGCAUGUAAAGCCCUAUCGGCAGGGAAGAAAAGCGAACAGGUUCGCCUGGACGGUACCUGACUAAGAAGCCCCGGCUAACUACGUGCCAGCAGCCGCGGUAAUAAGUAGGGGGCAAGCGUUAUCCGGAUUCACUGGGUGUAAAGGGAGCGUAGACGGCGACGCAAGUCUGGAGUGAAAGCCCGGGGCCCAACCCCGGGACUGCUCUGGGAACUGUGCGGCUGGAGUGCGGGAGGGGCAGGCGGAAUUCCUGGUGUAGCGGUGAAAUGCGUAGAUAUCAGGAGGAACACCGGCGGCGAAGGCGGCCUGCUGGACCGCGACUGACGUUGAGGCUCGAAAGCGUGGGGAGCAAACAGGAUUAGAUACCCGAGUA